ensembl:lncRNA
GGGGGGGGGCGAAGAGGAGAGGGGGGGGGACGGACAGCUGAGCCGAUGGGGACACACGGCCGGGAAGCACCGAGAGGGACAGCUGCUUCCUGCCUCUGCCACCCGAACCCAGCGGCCAGCGAGCAAAGCAUUGGCGGGACGGAAACCUAUGGGGGUGACCCCCCCCUUUCCACCCCCCCCACCCCAAUUGGUGGCCCUCAUGGCUGCAUGGCAGCAGCAGCUGGGCUGGGGGGUGGGGGGGGGUGAACCCCAACCCCAUCGCUGCAGCUCCCCAGCAUGCAAUCUGAUGGGCAUUGCGUUGGGGGGCAGACCCUGUGCCCCCCACCCUCUCCGUGCCAGCUUUGCGUGUUGUCAGCGUUUCCUUAUGCUGCCGCUCGUGAGGGGCCUCAUUAACAUAUCUAAUUGCCGCCUCUCUAUAGUGAUUUGUGCUGAUUGCUUAUUGGCAUUAGUUACUUUGGAAGGAAAAUUACCCUAAACAUCAAAUAAACCCCGGCAUUAGCCGUAUGGAAAGGGACACCAUGGAGAUAUGGGGAUGGCACCCCCAACCCCCCCCCUUCAGUGUGCUUUGGGGUAACAUACCCACCUCGGUGCCACCGCCAUGGGGAACCCCAUGUCCCGGUUUUGGGACCCACCCCCCCCAUUGUAACCCAUUAUGGUGGUGGCACCCGUGGGGAGGGGAGGCUCUGGGUUGCGAUGGGGGGGGAAAUGGGGGGGGGGAACAACCCAGAGUCAAAGCGGUUCCAGUUGGUGACAGCUGCGGCGGUGCCGGCUCCGGUUACGGUGACAUCAGCUCUACCUUCCCACCUGGCGCGGGGGGCUCGGGCCCCGUCCCAUGGGGGUCCCAUGGGGGUGGGGGGGGAAGGGAGGUGGGGGGGACGGAGUGACAGCUGAGCGGCUCUCGGGCUCCAGACAUCCAGACAUGCACCCGGCGCUGCCGGAGCUUCCAGGGGGACCCUCUUGCAGCAGUGGGGACAGCGGUGGCAGCGGAGCUGAGGUGGGCAGAACGGGGGGCACGGGGUGCCCUGGUGCCAUGGUGAGGGGGUCCCAUCCCUGGGAGGGAAGCACUUCUCCCCCCCUCCUUCCCCCCCCCCCUCCCCAAACCAAGGGGUUGAAGGGAUGGACUCAGUGUUGUCCCUUAGGAUGGCUGCGGGGCCAUGCAGUCACCUCCGGGAUGGGCGCAAAGCUGCAGAGCUUUCCCUCCCCUUUCCCCCCCCCCUCCCCAUGCCUCAUUGCUGGGGGGACGCUGGAGGGGGUGGGGAAGGAUGGGGUGAGCAUCAGCCCCCCCUGAGGCUGUGGGUGCGGCUGGGUGGUGCCUGGCGCUGGGCAUGCUCUCAAAUGGGGAAACUGAGGCACAGCACGGGGACAACUUGCCCACGGUUGCUCAGCAGCUCUGGGUCGCAGCCAUCCCCCAUUCACCAUCUCCCACCACCAUCCCAUCCAUCUUCUACCAGGGACCCUCACCCCAAUAUGAGGGGCACCCCCUUCUCGCUGCCUCAGUUUCCCCGCAGCUCCCAACGGCCAUCCCUGCUCCUCUCCCCCUUCUCCUCCUCCUCCUCCUCCUCCUCCUCCUCCUCCAUCAAUGGGGCCCUGUUCUCCACCGUGCCCCCCGCUCGCCGCCAGCCCCCUCCUCCUCCCCGGCCCCUCUCAGCCAUUGCCUUUUCUUCACCCUCACAAUCGGAGGCAUUUAUGCAGCCGGAGGCUCGGGUUACCCCGACCGCGCUGGGCACCCGCUCACUGUCACCACUGAGCGCCGGGGGGACGGUGACACCGGAGCCCCCCAGCUGGGUUACAGCCACCGGGGCCAAUGGCAUGGAGUUCCCGAGGGUCCCUGCGCCCCAAAUCCCACCGGGAGAGCGGCUGCGUGGCAACGAU